rnacentral:rRNA from 1 species
GAUGAACGCUAGCGGCAGGCUUAAUACAUGCAAGUCGAGGGGCAGCAUGGUUGUAGCAAUACAACUGAUGGCGACCGGCAAACGGGUGCGGAACACGUACGCAAUCUACCCAAAACUGAUGAAUAGCCCUCCGAAAGGAGGAUUAAUACAUCGUAACAUAAUUGAAUGGCAUCAUUUAAUUAUUAUAGCUCCGGCGGUUUUGGAUGAGCGUGCGCCNGAUUAGGUAGUUGGCGGGGUAACGGCCCACCAAGCCUGCGAUCAGUAACUGGUGUGAGAGCACGACCAGUCACACGGGCACUGAGACACGGGCCCGACUCCUACGGGAGGCAGCAGUAAGGAAUAUUGGUCAAUGGACGCAAGUCUGAACCAGCCAUGCCGCGUGAAGGAUGAA